UUCUGUUGGGAUAUAUGGAAAGCUAGAACUGCCUUCAUUG
rnacentral:antisense_RNA from 1 species